ensembl:lncRNA
AUGAACAUUGCUUUUGUGUGGGCAUAUUACUGCGUGCCCUGUGUUGUGGUUUGCGUGUAUGUGUGUUUGCGUGUAUGUGUGUGUGUGUGUGUGUGUGUGUGUGUGUGUGUGCGUGUGUGUGUGUGUGUGUGCGUGUGCGUGUGCACGUGCGUGUGCACGUGCGCGGUCGCUGUGUUGUCCCGUCACAGCUGCAGCAGAGCCGGAUUGAUGUGUAACCCAAGCCGGCACUUUAAAGGGCGAGAGGCCUGGGCAGACGUGGUCCUGCUAGUAUACCAGAUGGGGCUUUAUGAUGAAAAGAGCGUAAUCCCCCAUCCAGGCAUCACUUCCAUCACUCCUGCACUACAAAGCCACUCACAGCAUUUUAUUGCUGGAAAUAAUCUCUUUUUUCAGCUCCACCAAACAGUUUUCAAUGUUUCUACCCUUCAUCCAGACUGAUAGCAUCUCAUUCUUUAUCAUCAAUACUUGGACUUUGUCUGAUCUUGUGAAGGUUUUCUUUAAUUAUUUCUGUAUUUCAGCAGGUUUGACUGGUGGCGCCUGCGUUUGGCAGGCCUCGCCCCAGUCAGUGCACCGAGGGCAGCUGGGGCUACGUUGUAGCUCAUCAUCACCAGCGUGCAAAUGUGUGUGUGAAUGGGUGAAUAACUGAUUGUGUUCUGAAGCGCCUUGGGGGUUGUGGAACCCCAAGAAAUCGUAAUACAAAUACAGGCCAUUACCAUACAGAAGUGUGUGACCUUCUCAAGUAUUUUGCCACUUGUCAGUUUCAUUUUUACCCCUUUUCUCUCCUUUGGCCUUUUUCUUCUACAGUCUUAUCUUUAACAGACAUCAUGUGCUUUAACUUUUAUGCUUACUUGUCUCAUGAAAAGAUUUUUAUGUGUUUUGCAAAAUACAUCUUGCUCAGGGACAGCAGUCGAAUAUUAGCUCUGGAGCUUACACUGACACAUUUACAGAAAGUCCAUUAAUGUGUACUGUCCCUGUUAAACAAAUAAAUAAUCAGGCCAUCAGUGUCUUGCCCAAAGACACAACAGCAGAGAUCUCUGCCCGGAGCUGAGAUCGAGACUGGACAACCCGCUCUACCUCCUGAGCUUCUGCUGCCCCUAGCUAGGCAGGGCUUUGAAUAAACUACGGUUUCAAAAACACAACAUGAAGGCACCUGUAAAAUUCUGCCUUUUUUUCUUUCACAAUGCAAGUAAGCAGCGAGUCUUUGUCUAGUUUGUAUUGAAAUGUAAAUAAAUCAACAUUCAGCUUAUCUCCUUUUACCAAAACAAUAGAAUUCAACUCCCAUAGUUCGUGUCUGAUUAGCUGUUAGCUCGAUUCCUUUGUGAGAAUUUUUCUUUCAAACAGAGAACAUUCUGACUGCAGUCUGUUGCAGGUAAGAUACUGACUGAUCUCUACAGCCUAAACUAUCCCUUCAAGCUUCACCAUUUUGCCUCCAGCCUUCACACAACCCUUUCUUUCUUCCACUCCCCACCACCACCCCACCUGGCUGGACUCCAGCUAUAGAUUGUUAAUUAUGGUUUGAACGUGAUGCGCAGCCUUGCCUCACAAUACUACAGCUGUAUUCUUUGGCAGACAUCAAAGUGUUGGUGUUUCAUUCCAUGGGGAUUAGUGAUGGUAGUGUGAUAAUGCCCCUGCCUGCUCGCUGAAUUAAACGCCUAUGGCUGGGUGCAGGUACCGGGAAUCAAAAGAACACAGUCACACACACCGCACACACUCCAGCAAUGGAUGAAAAGAUGCAGGUCUGACAGAUUCAGACAUGUUACAAAUACAGUCUCCGUAGAGGGAUAUACAGCAAGAUUAAACUCAUCUGAUCCUUUCCAGAACAAAACAUCCGUGCAUUAGUCAGCACUGACCACUCGUGCCCCCCACUCAUGGCAAAUUGGAUUUCUAAACAGCUGUUUUCUUCAUUUCCCUGUACUCACUGACAGCAGUCUUCUUUAUCACUGUUCAUCUUCUUUUUCCCCAUCUCCUCAGCAAAGGUAUUGAAUAAAAAUGUUGGAAACAUCAAUAAACUGUUUAGAAAAGCCAUCUCUAUUGCAACUCUCACCAUCAUUUGUACAAAGGACAAAUGACAAGUGUUUAAAAGGCUGCAGGGCGUUUUAAUGUUGGGUUUGUAUUUUCUCUCGCCGACUAUGAAGGUCUCGGGAGACGGACGGAAAAACAGCAUGAAAGGAAAUUUACAGAGUCAGAGGGAAAAGCAGAGGGAGGGAGCGCGAUAGAAACUCGUCCUUGGUGAUCAAUGUGUUGUGCUAUUGUCUGUUCUGCUUCUUUGUCCAAAAGGACGAAGGUGGAGAGGAUAGGAAGCGAGUGAUGCAUAGGAACUGUUCACAGGCCUAAAACUGAAAAUGUGACCAGAAUCUGGGUUUGGAUGAACCAGUGUGUUAGUUUCUUUGGUGUGUUUAGAUAGUAGACUUGGGGUAUUUCUCAAUGUCAAGGCGCCUGGCCUUGUGAGGCAAUGUCUUGCGAGGUCAGGCACCUUGCUGCUUUCGCGGCGGUCACGUAAUGUCACGUGACACAGGAGAUAAUGUUAUAGUUAUGUAUAAUGAGCUGUUUACUUUUUAAAUUGUGUAUAUAUUUGUUAAAUUUAUAUAUAUAU